rnacentral:rRNA from 1 species
GAUGAACGCUGGCGGCGUGCCUAACACAUGCAAGUCGAACGAGGUAAAUGAGAUGAAGUUUUCGGAUGGAUUCUUAUUUACCGAGUGGCGGACGGGUGAGUAACGCGUGGGUAACCUGCCUCAUACAGGGGGAUAACGGUUAGAAAUGACUGCUAAUACCGCAUAAGCGCACAGUACCGCAUGGUACGGUGUGAAAAACUCCGGUGGUAUGAGAUGGACCCGCGUCUGAUUAGCUAGUUGGUGAGGUAACGGCCCACCAAGGCGACGAUCAGUAGCCGACCUGAGAGGUGACCGGCACAUUGGGACUGAGACACGGCCCAGACUCCUACGGGA